UACAGAGGUGGCAAGCGUUGUUCGGAAUUACUGGGCGUAAAGGGCGCGUAGGCGGUCAGGUCAGUCCCGUGUGAAAUCCCUCGGCUCAACUGAGGAACUGCACGGGAAACUACCUGGCUUGAGUUCGGGAGAGGGAAGCGGAAUUCCGGGUGUAGCGGUGAAAUGCGUAGAUAUCCGGAGGAACACCGGUGGCGAAGGCGGCUUCCUGGACCAACACUGACGCUGAGGCGCGAAAGCUAGGGGAGCAAACGGG
rnacentral:rRNA from 1 species